AUAAAAUAUAUCUUUAGAAAUUAUUUUUAAAAGGUAGAUGAUACUUAAGGAAUGGUUACACUUGAGGUUGUACUCUAGUCUCCUCACAACAUGCAUGCACACAUGCAGCCUUACAUAUGAACAACUGCAUGUACAUGUACAACCUCAUACGUAUGGAAUAUCUGUGUGCAUACAUGCAACCUUACACAUAUAAACGUGUGUGUAUAUGUGCGACCUCACACAAAUGAAUGUGUGCAUGUAUGUGCAUAGCUUCAUAUAUAUGAACAUGUAUGUAUACACACAUGGCCUUGCACAUAUGAACAUGUGUGUGCCUACAUGGUAGCUUCUACAUAUGAAUGCAUGUGCCUACAUGCAGCUUUAUACAUGCAUGUAUGCAUGCACACGUGCAGCCUCACACAUAUGAAUAUGUGUAUGCACACACAUUAGAACUAGCAUCUUCCCAGGUAAUACUUCUUUAUGUUUUAUGUUUUAUCUUUUAAGAAUAACCCUCUUACCUUUUUUUUUUCUUACCAUAUUUAACUUUUGAAAGCUAUAGGCCUUUUGGUUUGGUACAGAUCUCCUGUUAAAUUUACUGACUUGUUUUCUCCUGGUAAAAUUUAACUUGCUCCUCAACCCCUGAUUUUGUCUUAAACUGGUUAGUCCUAGUUGUCAGUACCUGGCUGCUGAGGCUGUGGGUGGACAAGCUGCACAAGGUCCUGGGCGUUUGGGUGGCCAAUGUUGCUGUGCACCAGGACUGUGCCCAAACUUAUUGAACUCUUCCUUCCUUCCUUCCUUCCUUCCUUCCUUCCUUCCUUCCUUCCUUCCUUCCUUCCUUCCUUCUUUCCUUUUCUGAGACAGAUUAUGCUAUGUAGCCCAGGCUAGGCUGCAGCACCUGCUCCUUCUGCCUCAGCCCCAUACAGUCUUAGAUUACAGCAUGUGCUCCCAGGCCUUGAUCUUUGAACUUCCUUGAUGUACAACUUGAAAACAUGACAGAGAUUUAAUAAGAUCACCUGCUCUAUGCCAGCCCUUUGAGGAACUUCUUGGAAAAAUAUCACUUACUUGUGUGAGUGUGUGUGUGUGUGUGUGUGUGUGUGUGUGUGUGUGAGAGAGAGAGAGAGAGAGAGAGAGAGAGAGAGAUGCAUGGGGGUACACAUGCCAUUGCAUGCAUGUGGAUGUCAGGGGACAACUUUGUGGAGUCAGUUUUCUCCUUUUGCCUUUUUGUAGAUUCCAGGGAUUGAACUUAGGUCACCAGGCUUGCACGGCAAGCACCUCUACUUGCUAAGCCAUCUCGCUGGCCCCCUUGGCAGAGUAUCUUAUCUGGACCCACAAAAAAACAUUUUGAGGAAAGGGUAUUUACUUUAUAGCUGAAAAGCUGAGGUUCAGAGGUAUCAAGGUGGGAAAAGAAAUUAAAUUUUUUUUUGUUUAUUUUUUGAGAUAGGGACUCACUACAUAACCCUGGCUGUCCUGGUACUUUCUGGAUAGAUCAGGCUGUCCUCAAACCCACAGAGACCUGCCCACUUCCAUCUCCUACGUGCUGGCUGUAUGAGCCCUCUACCACUCAGUUACAUCUUGGCUCCUCGUAACCUUCCCCCGAGACCCUUUCCUCCCCAGAUUUUACAUGUGCAUUCCCUUCCGGUGCCCCUCACCUUUGCACCCAGUACCUUUUGCUUCUUUGAGGUUGUUUAGCCUGGAUGCCUCAGCACCCCACGUUAAUUUAUUCCCAGAUGCCCAGCUCCAGUGCGAUCUUGCAGAAUCUGCUCCCAGCUCAUCUCCAUCCAAACGUAGCCUCACUGGCUUCAGGUCCUGUGCUUGCACCACCGUCUCAGUAUUCGGUCCUGUGUGCUGCACAAGCUUUGCUUGUAGCUGGUAGAGCAAGCUCGCAGGAGUCAAGGGCUCAAACCCCAGGCCCUUCAUACCCCUCUGUGACCUUGCGUGUAUCAAUUCACCUGAAACGUCAUUUCCUUCAUUUCUAAGGGAGAGACGGUUGGGAAGGUCAAGAUGUCAUGAUGCUUCCGAAUCCAAUGGUGCCACUGUAGAGCCCUCGGCAGGGCGAAAGGGAGCCCCUGGCAGACUCUGAGGCCCUGCUAGUUGGAUUUCCUUCCCAGACCCCAUGUGCAACCUGACACAGAACAGCUGUGGAUGUCCUCAGGGUCAUUUCCCCCAAAUACCAAACGGGUCCCUGCAGAUGCCACAGACCUGGGGCUUGCCUGCGUUUUUUGGCAUUUCUUCAUCACCCCCUCGGUGUGGGGCAAGACUUGGCUGGGCCCACAGCCAGCAAUAAAGCGGAUGCUAAUCAUAUCAUUAUAUGCUGAAUAAUUAACUGUCAUUUAAAUAUUCAUAUGUUGUUGGGGGCAAGGCCUUUUAUCAGUAUCUGGGGACAUGUCAGCAGAGGAAAGAGAUGGAUGUCGCCAAGGCUGACUCCGCCUGUGAAGGGCGACCUGGGGUCCAGGGAGAGCCAUUGCAGUGGUCACCAGACAGUCAGCUAAUAUAUAACUGCAAUAUUCUCACGUGAUAAACGGCAACUUCAUAAACGCUUGAUGCAUAUGAGCAACCCUAAAACAAUAUUGGAAGCAUUAAUUUCAUUUGACUAAUGCUUAUCUAUAUUUUAUUCUGUUGCCAUCUCUAAAGAAGCCCCUCUUUCCUUCAGGGGAAGGGCGGUAGGGCUGGAGGGCCACUGAUGGACGACAGCAGCCAAGGGGGGCACUUUCCGUUAGCCCUGCCUUUAAGAUGACGAGAUUUGGGACUGGCUCUGAGCUUUGAAGACCUGUCUGAGAGUCUGUGUGAAAUCCUGCCUGAGUCCCUGUCGGGGAACUCAGCCUCUCUGGUGGCAUUACAGGAGAGUGGCAUGGGUAUCUCAGGCUUGGCCAGGUAAAGCAAAGUUGUAUAGGUGCCCUCUUGCUGUCAUGGAGGAAUCAAGAGGGGAGGCCUUGAAGACAGAAGUAUAGUCAGGUGGGGAGUAUUAUGAAGUGACUCUUCUAUAGUGGGGUGUGGGUGGUUGUGGUGGUUUGAAUAUGCUUGGCCCAGGGAAUGGGACUAUUAGGAGGUGUGACCUUGUUGGAGGAAGUCACUGUAGGAGUGGUCUUUUAGACCCUCCUUCCAACUAUGUGGGAGUCAGUCUUCUCUUGGUUGCCAUUGGAACAAGAGGUAGACCUCUCAGCAUCUCCAGCGCUAUGCCUGCCUGGAUGCUGCCAUGCUUCCUGCCAUGAUGAUAACGGAUUGAACCUCUGAACCUGUAAGCCAGCACCAAUUGAAUGUUGUCCUUGUAAGAGUUGCCUUAAUCAUGGUUUCUGUUCACAGCAGUAAAACCCUAACUAAGACAAAUAGGAAGGGACCCGGAGGAGAGAAAGGGAACAGAGGGAGGGUGUGAAGGAACACGAAAGCCAAGAGGGAGAGAACGGCACCUGGAGGUCUGGUGAUGGGUGAGCUGGCUGUUCUGGAGGAGCGAAGCAGCUUGGUGGGGGGGGGGGUUAGUAACAAUGGUUCUAGAAUUGGAUAGCCAUGGGCUGGGCUCUAGCUGUGCCAUUAACUAGCUGUAGGACUCCUGGAUCCUCUUUUUUUAACCCUCAGUUUCCACUUGUGUAAUAGGAGCCACUGUGCUUCAGGGGUGGGCUGAUGACUUAUCGGGUUGCUCUUCUGGGGUCUCACAGAGCUCCAUCAAAUGUCAUCGAUUGGGAGGCUCAAAUUGUGGGUGGUGGUAGAGGUGAUGUCGGUGGCAAUGUCAGUGGUGAUGGUGGUAAAGUUGGGAGGCGAUGGCAGUGGGAAUGGUAGUGGUGACAUUGUUGAUGGCAGUGGUGAUGGUUGUGGUGAUGUUGGAGGCGAUGGUGAUGGUGGUGGCGGUGGCGAUGGUGGUGGCCGUGGUGGUGGUGGUGGGUGUCUGCUUUCAAGAACUCUCUGCAGUUUGCUGACUUUUGUUUCCUUUCAGGAUCUGACGCUGGCUGGUUGUCUGCCAAGGAGACCCUCAAUUCUGAGUGGCCCAUGGUCACUGGCCCUGGGAAUUUCUUCAGCAUGGCUGCUGACUACAUCAAGCAAGAACCUGUUCCUAAGACAGAGCUUAUAUGAUACAUAGUGAUCAUGAAGUAUGGAGGGACACUGUCACCUUUCCAGGUUUACUAAUGAGUGACAGGUUCUGCUAACAUAUAUGGGAGGGGAUAGUACAGGGGUAUGAAUACCAGGGGCCUGGGUUGCUGAGUGACCCUCAAGCCUUUACAUCAUAUCUGACAAGGUUAGCAGUGAGUGCUCUCAGUACCAGGUACUCACGGUCCCUGCGUUUUGUGAACUUUCUCACCUGACCCACAGAAUAACCCAAGAAGAGCAGUAACUGCCCUCACUGUACCAAUGGAGGAAUGUGAGGUCAAGGAUCCUGGUAGGGGUUCAACAGGGGAAGGCAGGAGCACUGUGGAAUUGGUCAUAGACACCAUGUGAUCCAACACCCAGGGUUGCCAGUGAAGACAAACCUCAGAAGACUCUCAGGACAUGCCCUGGCCCUGUUCCACUUUGCCAGGACACGUGACAACACUGGGUCAUGCAGGUGACUCCAGGACAAGCUCUCUGUGGUAAAGCCAACAGGCAUCAGACCCUGGAUCAUCCGAAGUCUAACUUAGCGCUCAGGCUGGUGUCUGACAUAUUCUUGAUUCACUGGAACGAGGACUGAAUACUGUCAGUCCCAGCAGUCCUCUGAGGAUGGUUUUAGGAACUCCAUCCUGCAGGAGGGAGGGGCCUGAGAGUGUGUGACACCUGCUCAAAUAACAGUGUCAGAGCCAGGAUUUUGGAUUCUGAGGCCCGAGUUUUUGUUUCGUUGUUUUGUUUUCUCACCAGCGGCCGCCCACCUAGCCACCUGGCAGGCAUUUGGGGGAGAUUCGGAAAUGUUUCCUCUUUGCUGCCAUCCUGUCUAGUAUCUGUGAAACACCCAUCACUCACCAGCUGCAGACAUUCUCCAGAAAGCUUCAGAACACCCUCGCAAAGGUGUCUGCUAUUGCCCCCAUUUUACAGAUGUGGAAGCAGGUUGAAGGAGGCUUCCUAGUAACUGACUGAGCUGCUUCCCGAGGUAAGGGUCAGAGUGACUGGGAUACAGGCUGGAGAGGGAUGACCUGCAAACCCAGCUUGGCAAGGGUUGGCAGGAGCAGAGGAGGGUCAGGAGAAGCUCCUAGAAGUCUCUUUCCCCUACUGGCCUUUGAGGGCAGAGGUGAGAUUUGGUAGACUCUUGAUAGGAAUUGUUCUGUGUGCAAGCAAGAACCGAGUUAGGUGGAGUGUAAGCAUUCUAGCCUGGCCUGGGUUGUCCCGAGUCCCUUCUGGUUUCAGUCUUGAACUUGUCCUUCCCUGCAAUGCAGAGAUGCGCAGGUGGGAGGGGAGGAUCUAUAGGCUGCUGUGUACAACUGGUCCUUAAGGUUUCUAUCAACCCCAUCCACAAUUUUUCCCACCAGCCUCCUGCCAGCACCAUGGAGUGAAGAGCAGUCUGGCCCAGGAUGCUGAGUUGGAUCCACUUAGACAUUCUCCAGCCCCCCCCCCCCCCAGUGCAUCCCUGUCCCUCCAUCCUUGCUGUACAGUGGUCUGCCUUCCUGCUCACAACCAGGCUCGGCAGGAAAAGCAGCCUACUCCUCCAGUUUCCCUGCUUCCUAAACAUUGCUGAUGCCCGAAGGCUGCUCUCAGCUCUUCUCCUGGGUGGGUGCAUUUAUUUAUUCCUCCUCUCAUUCAUUUGUUGAUUCAUUCAGCAAGUAGUUUCUGAGCUCUUAGGCUCUCCUAGGUUGGGAACACAGCAGUGACCCCAGCUGACCGGUCUGUCCUCUCUACAGAGGUUACCACACUGAAUGGAUAGACGUGCCGGCUUUUAGUGAGCAACACAGGCCUUGAUGCCAGUAAAACACGAGGCAUGAUGGAAAGGGACUGGCCAUUGCUUUGGUUUGCAGACAGAGAUCCCAUCAUCUGCAGGAGGAUUUGAGUGUGAUGAAGCCAUUCAUAGGAAGAUCUAGAUGAAGAACAUCCCAUGCUCAGUGAGCAGGAAGUACAAAGGCCCUGGGGUUAGAGAGAACUUUUCCGACUCCAGGAACCAGAGGAGGCUGGCCUUAGCGGUGACAACAGGCAGGAUCUUGGUGACACUUUCUAUUUCCCCGUAAGUACAAUAGCAGCUCUUGGGGGCUUGGGUCUAGGGAAAACUCUGACUUGAUUUAUAUGUCUCUCUCUGCCUUUUGUACUGAUAACAGAGAGACCAUUAAGAGCUCUGAGGUCAGAAGAUGGAGCAGUCAUUAUUUAAGUGCCUGCGUGUAAACAUGAAGAGCAGAGUUCAGUCAAACAAGCUGGGCAUGGUGCCAUGAGCUUGUAAUCCUUAGGUUGGAGAGAUGGAGACAAGAGACUUCUAGGGACGAGCUGGCUAGUCAGUCUAGGCAAAUAAGUGAACUUCAGGUUCAGGAGAGACUCCAUCUCAAAGGAGGCGGAUGCUGUUCUUGAUGACAUCACCGAAAGUUGUCUUUAGCUUUUCACACACUUUCCUGCAAGCAUGUACGCACACACACACACACACACACACAUACACAUGAAAAAAAUAAUUGUGCCAGUUACUAGUCCAACAUCACAGUCUUCUACAGAUACUCAGUAUCCCAUCCUAGCUCCUUUAGGUCUUACACCGACACAUCGCGUUCCAGGAAUAACUUUAUCCCUUACCUUUUCAAAGUUCCUGUUCAGUCCUCAGAACCCAGCUCCUGGGUAUCCUUCUGGGGAGCCCUUCUCCCUCACCCGUGGCAGGAUAAAUUCACACCCUCACUGCCAUUACCAGUUCUAACAACAGGCUCAUACAGUGUGUUUCUCGUCCCUCUUUCCACUAGGUCAGGAGUCCUUCCAACAUGAAGAUCUAACUCUGAUGGUCUUGGAGACCACAGACCUUCCCUAGCCUGGUCUGGGAGGGAUGCCUGGCAAAUGCUUUCUGGGCUAACGUGAGUUAUUUGAGCACUCGAGUCGCUAGCAGAAGCACUGCGUUAGCGAGUCCCCUUUGUUUGAACAAACAAGAUUAGAAGCAUUGCACUGUUUGUUCUUCCUGGUGAGGCUCUAGCAAAUCCACACUUUGUGGGACUUCUGGCCUCUGGAGGGCCCCUCAGUGUUUUCUAAAAGCAUAGCCCGUGAGAGUUAAAAUUUGAAUAGAUAUCUCUCAAGAGCUGGUCCUGUAUUCCUGUAUUACCUUGAGACAAAUGUUUGUUAAUAUAUAUAUAUAUAUAUAUAUGUAUUCUAGUUGCUAGAAUACAUGUUGUAAAUACUUGCGUUUGAAAAUGUACACUUCCGGGAUGCUUUGUGGGUUCCUGUGCAUGUUCACGUACGACUAGAAAUCUGUUUGUCACAGAUGCUUCCCAGGUCUGGUGGUUGUUUUCUCUAUCCUAAUUAAUCUAUUGAUGUAGAAUUAUGCAUCUUUCCCCAUAAGCCGGGAGUGUAUUUAAAAGCUCAUUUCCUUGCCUGAGAUACAUGCAAAUAAAAGUUAAAG
rnacentral:lncRNA from 1 species